CGAGGAAAGAGAAGCGCUGAAGCUGAUCCAGAGGCUCUAGCUGAGCCUGAAGCUGAUCCCGGUCACUUUGGUCAUCGCGGAUUUGGUGGAGGCUUUGGAGGAGGUUUUGGAGGCUUCAGAUGAGGAUAUGGUGGCUUUGGAUACCGAGGAAAGAGAAGUGCUGAAGCUGAUCCAGAGGCUCUAGCUGAGCCUGAAGCUGAUCCCGGUCACUUUGGUCAUCGCGGAUUUGGUGGAGGCUUCGGAGGAGGUUUUGGAGGCUUCAGAGGAGGAUAUGGUGGAUUCGGGUACCGAGGAAAGAGAAGCGCUGAAGCUCUCGCUGAGCCUGAAGCAGAUGCCGGUCACUUUGGUCAUGGUGGCUUUGGAGGCUUCAGUAGUUUUGGAGGCUUUGGAGGCUUCCGACGCCCUUACUAUGGAUGAAAAACUGCUUCCUCGCUCGACAUUCUUUCUUGACUAUGACUGAUGCUCACAAAAUGUAAUUUUGUUAAUGCAAUAAAACAAUUAUAUUUUAAA